rnacentral:lncRNA from 1 species
AUUUGGUUUGAGCUGGGUCAGUUUUCUUUUUGCAGGGUGGUGGUGAUAUUUUGAAGUGCUACUCUCCUCUGGGAAGGUUACAAGGGAUUCCUGAGUUUGCCAAAGCAGAAAGAAGAAACAAGCCUACAGGAAGCCCUAACUGAACUGUGUAAAUAGGACAACCUAAGUAUCACAUACUCGGAAAAAUCACAAGUAGGUGAACAGUGAAUCAUAUGAUUGAGCUUGAUUCUUCCUGGACUGUACUGCAGCAAUAGGAUUUUCCUGUUAAAACAUAUUUAACCAUCAAGUGAUACAGGAGCCAAGUGGAAAUGUACCUCAGACUACUUAGUUGAUGUUUACAUGUCCAAGGUCACAGAAAAUUGCAUGAUCUAGGAGGAAGCGAAAACAAGCAAUUAAGAAGGUGGUAUCAGACUGCAGAGGUAUCCAACUGUGGGACAGAGGUGACCUCUGGGAUGAAUCUUCUGAAGGAUCAGGGUUUGGCGAUGCCUAUUCACAUCUUUGAGGACUGUGGACACCAGACACAUAAGUGGAUUAGGAAAUUCCACCUUUGACACAGAGGAAUCUCAUUGCUGGACCUUGUAGCUGUUGUCUUUGCCAUCUACAUGAGAUGCUACAAGCUGCCAGCUACCAAAAGAUGGCCAUCAAUUGUCAUUUCUAUUAAUAUGUGAUUUGUGCAGACAGGAGUGGUUAUAAUGAUUCAAUCAAUCAAUUCAAUCUAAUCAGCAUGAUAAUGG